GAAGAAGGUGCAGGGCUGCGCAUUGUCAUUUAUAAACUAAUUGUUAGAGUUCUUCGAUUUGUCGCAAAGCUUGAUGAUGGCAGCGAGCGCCAAGUUGCCGAACAUGAUGUGGAGUUUGAGGUUAAUAUGAAACAUUUUACGGUUAAAAAAUUGAUAGAACUCAUUAGAUCAAAAAUUAUAUGGGGGGUUGGUCAAGAGGCCCAUAUUUUGUGUCAAGAUAAGCACUUUGAAUCAGUUGAGAGGAUUGAUAGCUAUUACAAGUUGUUGACAACAUUUCUUGAGAGAUGGGAAGAGAAAGAAUUGCUU
rnacentral:rRNA from 1 species